rnacentral:misc_RNA from 1 species
GUGAAUCAUCAAAUUUUUGAACGCAAAUUGCACUUCUUGGUAUUCCGAGAAGUACACAUGCUUGAGGGUCAGUUAAAAAAUAUCGUACAUCUUUGAUGUGGCGGAUCUGGGUUAUCCGAUAUUAUUUAAUCGGUUACCUAAAAUUUGGUAGAUGUGUAAUGUGAAGCGUACUAAGUUAGUCGCUAAUCAUUUAUAAUACUUAUUACAUUAUCUUCAAAUAAUUAGGUAGUGUAUAAAUUAUGAGAAAUGACCUCAAGUCAUGUGAGAGUACCCGCUGAACUUAAGCAUAUCAAUAAGCGGA